AUUGAACGCUGGCGGCAGGCCUAACACAUGCAAGUCGAGCGAGCGGCGGACGGGUGAGUAAUGUAUGGGGACUGCCCGAUAGAGGGGGAUAACUCCUGGACACGGUGGCUAAUACCGCAUACUAUCGGAUAACCCAUAUGGGAUUAUCUAGUAGGGGGGGUAAAGGCUCACCUAGGCGACGAUCUCUAGCUAGUCUGAGAGGAUGAUCAGCCACACUGGGCCUGCAGCACGCCCCAGACUCCUACGGAGGCAGCGGUGGGAAAUAUGGCAAAAUGUGCGCAAGCAUGAUGAAGCCAUGCCGCGUGUAUGAAGAAGGCCUUAGGGUUGUAAAGUACUUUCAGCGGGGAGGCGUUACCCGAAGAAGAAGCACCUGCUAACUCCGUGCCAGCAGCCGCGGUAAUUC
rnacentral:rRNA from 1 species